AUUGAACGCUGGCGGCAGGCCUAACACAUGCAAGUCGGACGGUAGCACAGAGGAGCUUGCUCCUCGGGUGACGAGUGGCGGACGGGUGAGUAAUGUCUGGGGAUCUGCCCGAUAGAGGGGGAUAACCACUGGAAACGGUGGCUAAUACCGCAUAACGUCGCGAGACCAAAGAGGGGGACCUUCGGGCCUCUCACUAUCGGAUGAACCCAGAUGGGAUUAGCUAGUAGGCGGGGUAAUGGCCCACCUAGGCGACAACCCCUAGCUGGUCUGAGAGGAUGACCAGCCACACUGGAACUGAGACACGGUCCAGACUCCUACGGGAGGCAGCAGUGGGGAAUAUUGCACAAUGGGCGCAAGCCUGAUGCAGCCAUGCCGCGUGUAUGAAGAAGGCCUUCGGGUUGUAAAGUACUUUCAGCGGGGAGGAAGGCGGUGAGGUUAAUAACCUCACCGAUUGACGUUACCCGCAGAAGAAGCACCGGCUAACUCCGUGCCAGCCGCCGCGGUAA
rnacentral:rRNA from 1 species